rnacentral:rRNA from 1 species
UACGGGGGGAGCAAGCGUUGUUCGGAUUUACUGGGCGUAAAGGGCGCGUAGGCGGCGCAACAAGUCACUUGUGAAAUCUCCGGGCUUAACCCGGAGCGGCCAAGUGAUACUGUCGUGCUAGAGUGCGGAAGGGGCUACUGGAAUUCUCGGUGUAGCGGUGAAAUGCGCAGAUAUCAGGAGGAACACCCGUGGCGAAAGCGGCUCUCUGGGACGGUACUGACGCUGAGACGCGAAAGCGUGGGGAGCAAACAGG